GGCGGAUGUACCCAAGUGGAUCAAGGCAG
rnacentral:tRNA from 1 species